AGAGUUUGAUCAUGGCUCAGGAUGAACGCUGGCGGUAUGCCUUACACAUGCAAGUCGAACGAAAAUUAGCUUCGGUUAAUUUUAGUGGCGGACGGGUGAGUAACACGUGAGAAUUUGCCUUUAGGAGGGGGAUAACGAGUGGAAACAUUCGCUAAAACCCCAUAUGCCCACGGGUGAAAAAGAGGAAACUCUGCCUGAAGAGAAGCUCGCGGCUGAUUAGCUAGUUGGUAGGGUAAUGGCCUACCAAGGCGACGAUCAGUAGCUGGUCUGAGAGGACGAUCAGCCACACUGGAACUGAGACACGGUCCAGACUCCUACGGGAGGCAGCAGUGAGGAAUUUUCUGCAAUGGGCGAAAGCCUGACAGAGCAAUACCGCGUGAGGGAUGAAGACUUACUGAGUUGUAAACCUCGGUGCCUUAAGGAAGAAGAUCUGACGGUACUUAAGGUGGAAAGCAUCGGCUACCUCCGUGCCAGCAGCCGCGGUA
rnacentral:rRNA from 1 species